rnacentral:rRNA from 1 species
AUACGGAGGGUGCAAGCGUUGUUCGGAAUCACUGGGCGUAAAGGGCGCGCAGGCGGUUUGGUAAGUCAGAUGUGAAAGCCCACGGCUCAACCGUGGAAGUGCAUUUGAAACUGCCAGACUUGAGUACCAGAGGGGAAAGUGGAAUUCCCGGUGUAGAGGUGAAAUUCGUAGAUAUCGGAGGAAUACCGGUGGCGAAGGCGACUUUCUGGCUGGAUACUGACGCUGAGGCGCGAAAGCGUGGGGAGCAAACAGGAUUAGAAACCCUAGUAGUCC